AAAUGAUCCCAUGCUGCCAAGAAAAGCCUCUAGCGAGCUUCGAGCGGCCCGUACCCCAAACCGACACAGGUGGUCAGGUAGAGAAUACCGAGGCGAUCGGGCGAACUGUGGUUAAGGAACUCGGCAAAUUACCCCCGUAACUUCGGGAGAAGGGGGGCCACAGACUGUCAUACCCCACGCGGGUGGCAGCAGUAGGUGGCCGCAGAGACCAGGGGGAAGCGACUGUUUACUAAAAACACAGGUCCGUGCGAAGUCGUAAGACGAUGUAUACGGACUGACGCCUGCCCGGUGCUGGAACGUUAAGGGGACCGGUUAGUCCGCAAGGGCGAAGCUGAGAACUUAAGCGCCAGUAAACGGCGGUGGUAACUAUAACCAUCCUAAGGUAGCGAAAUUCCUUGUCGGGUAAGUUCCGACCUGCACGAAUGGCGUAACGACUUCCCUACUGUCUCAACCACAGGCCCGGCGAAAUUGCACUACGAGUAAAGAUGCUCGUUACGCGCGGAAGGACGGAAAUACCCCGGGACCUUCACUAUAGCUUGACAUUGGUAUCCGAAUUUAAUUGUGUAGGAUAGGUGGGAGGCUUUGAUCCGCGGACGCCAGUCCGUCGGGGAGCCAACGUUGAAAUACCACUCUGUUGACUUUGGGUAUCUAACUUCGGACCGUGAUCCGGUUCAGGGACAGUGUCUGGUGGGUAGUUUAACUGGGGCGGUUGCCUCCUAAAAUGUAACGGAGGCGCCCAAAGGUUCCCUCAGCCUGGUUGGCAAUCAGGUGUUGAGUGCAAGUGCACAAGGGAGCUUGACUGUGAGACUGACAGGUCGAGCAGGGACGAAAGUCGGGACUAGUGAUCCGGCACCUGCGAGUGGAAGCGGUGUCGCUCAACGGAUAAAAGGUACCCCGGGGAUAACAGGCUGAUCUUCCCCAAGAGUCCAUAUCGACGGGAUGGUUUGGCACCUCGAUGUCGGCUCGUCGCAUCCUGGGGCUGGAGUAGGUCCCAAGGGUUGGGCUGUUCGCCCAUUAAAGCGGCACGCGAGCUGGGUUUAGAACGUCGUGAGACAGUUCGGUCCCUAUCCUCCGCGCGCGUAGGAGACUUGAGAAGAGCUGUCCCUAGUACGAGAGGACCGGGACGGACGAACCUCUGGUGUGCCAGUUGUCAUGCCAAUGGCACGGCUGGUUAGCUACGUUCGGAAGGGAUAACCGCUGAAAGCAUCUAAGCGGGAAGCUCGCUUCAAGAUGAGGUCUCCCACCCCUUAGAGGGUUAAGGCCCCCAGCUAGACCACUGGGUUGAUAGGCCAGAAGUGUAAGCCUGGUAACAGGUUCAGCCGACUGGUACUAAUAGGCCGAGGACUUCACCU
rnacentral:rRNA from 1 species